rfam:Gossypium arboreum cultivar AKA8401 contig_69182_1, whole genome shotgun sequence.
AUUCCAUGAUGAGGGCACUUUCAUAAUAACUCUUUGUACCUUAAUCAUGCCUCAUACAAAGACUCAUCGUCCAUUUGUUGGAAGGCAGUGAUCUCAUUCCUAAACUU